UGUGUAGGCGGUUUUCUAAGUCUGGUGUGAAAUCUCCCGGCUCAACUGGGAGGGUGCGCCGAAAACUGGAAGGCUAGGGUGCGGGAUGGGAGAGUGGAAUUCCUGGUGUAGCGGUGAAAUGCGUAGAUAUCAGGAGGAACACCUGUGGUGUAGACGGCUCUCUGGACCGCAACUGACGCUGAGACACGAAAGCGUGGGUAGCAAACA
rnacentral:rRNA from 1 species